rnacentral:hammerhead_ribozyme from 1 species
GUACUGCUGAACAUUCCCAAAAUAGGAGGAAACAGCUGUCCAGUAC